GAUGAUGAUCUUAGCGAAAUGUGAAGCUUCUGAUGCUCAGGCCCCUAACAUGAUUGCAGAGAAUUGAGGGUACCCGGGUGGUAAGUUCGGAUUGACGUGGAAAAACUGCGCCAUGCCGAUUGAGGAAUCAAGUAAUCGCAGGAUGGGCGAGUUUGACGAUCUGCUCGGAUUUCUAUAUCCUAUUGGAAGAGUGGCUAUCUUGAAUGUCGAUCGGAACCGUUGCGUGACCAAAGCACAGAUUUUUGGACGGCCACCUAGUGAUGGACGCUUUGCAAAUAGCAAUGGGAAUUGAAAGGUUUACACCAUAAACUAACUUGGAUUGAUUUGACCUUCAGUUAUGUUAUCAUCUAGAAGAGACUUGAUCUUGAUUCUGAAGGAUCAUAUGGGGUUAAGAGCCGAGAUGUGGACUGCGCAAUCACUAUCUUUGGUGAAUGCUUGAUCGGGUGAGCACUCCGAUGGAGUUGGGUGUUUGGUGCGUGGUAUGUACCCCCCUCCCUGAAUGCUUGCUCUGGACAAUACCCUUAGACAAGGGGACGGCUUGACGAGGGUAUUCUGAGUUGGAACUUCUAGUACAGAGCGAUUGAUAUUAGCUAGGUUUUCCCUCGACUUGGACGAGUGAAGGUGACAACUGGAUUUCAGCUUUUGUGAGACUAGCGUUCAUGAGAGACAAUGAGGACUGUGUUGAUCAAGCGCGGAUCAAGGGGAUGGCGGAAGUUAAGGGGGAAACGUAGCUGUGAAGGCUAGUCGGUCCGGGAACGUUCAGAGAUAGUUUGAUUGAGUUUGCCAAGUCUUGGCAUCGUGGGUCUGGUUGUUUUGCCGUGGAGUUUACCAGGUAAGUUUGAACCUUCGUGGUCUAGCUUAUACGCUCGUUAGAGCGUUUCUCUAUCUCUUUGGAUGGAGUCUGUGUUGAGGUGAUCCGCAGUUUACAUGGCGUACGAAACUCUUUUUAGAGGGCGCUGAAUGUAACACACUGGCUUUGAAUUGGAGGUCUUGAGUGGUUGGUUUGUGUUGCUGAGCAAUUCCAGAUUUCUGGUGGGUCGUUGACACCUGUCCGACCUAUGUGCUCGGAAUCCGUGUGAAGUGGGGCUUUAAAGCCUAGCACAAAUCCGAAAAAAUCAGAUUUUUGGCAGCCUCGGCGUAGCCUUCAGCAGAGGCGCUACCUGUACCGGUACAAGGUGAUGGUUGUACCGGUACAAGGUAGGGUUGUAGGUACAGGGACUUGUACCGGUACAGGCGGUUUACCCGCCAACCCGAGCCUCGGGUAGUGUGAUUUUCGUGGGGCUUGUAACGGUUACAAGGCCGUGUGUCCGGUACAAGGAGGCUUAUUUCAGUGCAGUUUGACUGGGGGGCCAGGGUGUUUUUGCAUUUGUGUUUUCUAUUUGAACCCCACUCCUAGGGUCUCAUUGACGCUUGGCACAGGCAGCGAGAGAAUUUAGGGAGCCUCCUCUUCAUCUCCUUCAUUUUCUUGAUUUCGGCUAUUGUGGUUUUUGGUGAUUAAACCCCCUCUUUUUGAUCUCUUCUUCGCUCUCUCUCUGCGCACGCGCCUCUCUCACUAUUGUGAGACUUGGAUGAGGCUUAGCUUGAAGGAAGUCUUGGUUUAGAUUGGACUUUGACCUUCGGUUGAGAGCUUUAAGACGGUUAGUAAGCCCAUUGGUCUUCCUGUAGAUUUGAGUUUUGUUGCUUUAUUGAUGAAUGCAAACCGUAGAUUGUAGAUUUAGGGCUUAGUUCUGGGCAUUUUGAUUCUAGGGCUUUUGGGGCUAAAUUAAUUGGAUUAAACCCUCCUUUUUGGGUCUGGAUUGGAAGGAUCUCUAUCACCUUUUUGUUGAGCUUGUGAGAGUUUUUCUCCACACUAGGUGAGAUUUAGCCUUUUGCCUUAUUUAUUCAAUGUUGAUCUUCCUAUUAGGUUGAUCAUAAUGUCGUGUUAUCUCUCUCGCUCAAUAUUUUGGAUAUUUUUGAGAUCCUGUUGGACAACUCGUUCGGAUGAAACGAGGGACUACGCGUGACGGAUCGGUGGGUUUUUGACCUGAGCACACACAAUGAGACAAAUUCUAUCAUUGUUGAUGAUUUAAGUGUUGUUAAAUGUAUUUAAGGCAUGCCUAUUCAUGUUUAGAUGCAUUAUUUGAGAAUUUUAGAAUGCUUAAAUUGCACAUGUCAUAUACCAUGCAUAUUUGACCUCUAUAUAGUAGAGAGUUUUUUUCAUGUUGGGCUAGGGGCCUACGGUUAGCAUUCUUACAUUUGAUUGAGAUCAUGUUGAAUAUGGUGCAUAUGGAAUGUAGAUUACACUCUUGGACUUAGAAUGCAUACUUGACAUGGUUGGACAAAUCGACAUUAAGUGACAUAGGCUAGAGUGUAUACAAAUAGUAAGCUAAUGUCAUAAAGCGGCAUUAGGUUUGGACUAGAUAUGGACUUAGCAAGCUAAUGUCAUAAAGCGGCAUUAGACUUAAUGGGUAUGUAAAUUGCAUGUGCAUGUUAUUAUUAUGAGAAUUAUGCCAAGUUGAUAGUUGCAUUGGAUAGAAUAAGCUAACGUCAUAAAGAGAUUUAGAAGGUGAAAUGUGCUUAGAUUAUAGCAAUGUUUAAGUGUCAUAAAGAGGCACUAAACAUAGUGAAUGUCGGAACUUCACCUUGAGAUUUAGACUUAGUAAAGCUAAGGUCAUUGACAUCGAAAUUAUUGAACAGUUAAACCUUCACAUUGAGAUAUAGUACUAGACCUUCGGGAUGCUAGUGACUGUUACCAUGUUAGAGACAUGAUGAUUGGGUACUUGAGAUUUUGACCAUGCUUGUUUGCCAUUUGUGCUCAUUCGCACAUGCUUGUACGGGUCGCUCCCUACAAGCCGGCACUCCGGAGUUAGCCUACGCGACUUAUGUUCGCUCGUGCGGUAUUGAGUAGCCUACGGGGCCUGGAGGGUUAGACUCAUUCCUAGAGUGGGGAUGCUGGAGCUACCACUGGCACUUAGGCGGCACAAGCCGGACUACACCUGCGUAGAUCCUGAUUGAGAUUGAACCAGAAUAUUAAACAACAAGUUUACAUUCACUACUAGCUAGGUUAUAGCAGUUGGACUCUUGAUAUGCUAUGGCAUAGGGUUGGACAUUUGGGUAUUUAGUGUACAUAACAUUAUCGCUUGUUGCAUUGUAGUACACUUGGUUGCCAUGAUAAUACAUACUAGAUAUGUUGUUGGCUUUGGGACAUAUUAUACUCCAUAGUAUUAUUCGCUGCAUUAUAGCAUAUUUGUUUAAAUAUUGGCAUACUGGAUCAUGUAGAGUAGAUGUACUCCAUGUUGACAUUCUACAUACUUGUGGCAUAGUAAACUAGCAUCUUAUUAUUAUGCUUCAUUUACCGCAGUUAAUUUCUAUUAUCUUUAUCUGCUCUCUUUUGGGCCUAGUGGUGCAGUUGGUGCAGGUCAGUAAUUGCCCACUGGGAACUAUAAAUUAUAGUUCUCAUGCCCCAUGUUUUAUGUUUUCUUUCAGAGCCUUCCACUUCGGGAGGGGCUCGGGAUCGCGGGAGAGGUUUCGCCUCGAGCUAGCUAUCGAGGGAUUUGGCGAUAGGUGGUCGGCCUCUCUUUUGUUUUCUGUUGGAGAGGUUGUGAGAGUUUUGUACCUUGUUAUAGAGACCACCCUACUUUUGUAUCUGGAGACUUAUGAUGUAUUAGUUUCUUUAUGUUCUAGUGGUUUAGUUUCUUUUUCUUUCCUUUUUACUUCCGUUUACUGAUAGAACUUAGCUGCAUACUUGCUCUGAUAUCGUUAGUUAUUGUUUAUUUUAUCUUUCAUAUCACCUUGUUGUAGACGCCUUAUAUGUGCAGGCAUAUGGCGGGUCUGGGCACGCACCGAGCAGGGCCUAUGCCGGGUCCCGGGGCGUGACAGAUUAAUUUGGUAUCAGAGCCUAGGGUUGAGUCUUAGUGGACCUAGCGAACCUUAGGCCGGUUGGACUAUAGGGAUUAGACUCGUGAGAGACGAGGUCUAUUUGACUUGUAAGGGAAAGUACAAUGAUUGGGUUUACUUGAUAACUCU
rnacentral:lncRNA from 1 species